AUUGAACGCUGGCGGCAGGCCUAACACAUCCAAGUCGAGCGAGCGGCGGACGGGUGAGUAAUGUAUGGGGACUGCCCGUUAGAGGGGGAUAACUACUGGAAACGGUGGCUAAUACCGCAUACUGUCGGAUAACCCAUAUGGGAUUAGCUAGUAGGUAAGGUAAUGUCUUACCUAGGCGACGAUCCCUAGCUGGUCUGAGAGGAUGAUCAGCAACACGGGGACUGAGAGAGGGCCCAGAGUGCUACGGAGGGAGCAGAGGGGAAUAAUGCACAAGGGGAGCAAGAGUGAUGAAGCCAUGCCGCGUGUAUGAAGAAGGCCAUAGGGUUGUAAAGUACUUUGAGUCGGGAGGCGUUACCGACAGAAGAAGCACAGGCUAACACCGUGGCAGCAGCCGCGGUAAUAC
rnacentral:rRNA from 1 species